GCAGAGGGAGUAGCAGGCUCCAUACAGAGAACCUGAUGUGGGACUCCAUCCCGAGACUCCAGGAUCAGGCUCUGAACCGAAGGCAGGCACCAAACCGCUGAGCCACCCAGGGAUCCCCAAGUUCUGGUUUUCUGAUGGAAAAGUUCUAACACACAUGUAUUUCCCGCCUGCUCCAGGGGCUGGGACAUCCUUGCUGAGGCUGCGGCUUAUGACCUAUCAUCACCUUCAACAUCAGCCUGGAAACAGGUUGGUCCGGGAAGGAAGAAAUCAUGGAAAUGCAGAAGCGUACACAUGGACAAACAACCACAGAUGAAACACCAUUUGUUCGGGGGCAAAUACACAGACUCAUUCAUUCCCUGCGAUCCGCAUCAUGGGGCCAUGCCACAGUGCGACAAAAGAUCUGCCUCUCCUUGAAACCUGAAAAUGUUUCAGAGGGAUAGCCUGGCACAAGGGAGACCAGGAAUGAGAACAGGUGGGGUUUUUUGCCCGAGCUUUGGGUCCCUUCCUCCAUGGUUUCUAGGCUAAAUCAUCUUGUUGAAAAGUCACUGAAAGCUUGGUGGAGAGUAGAGUGGUCAAGCCUGAGAAAACUGCGUUGACGAGCCUCUGGUCAUCGGCCAUGUCCAUGUGCAUGGCUGGAGUGCUCAGCAACACCAUGGAUAGAAUUUUGUCUUUGAUGGAGAACAGGUGUAUUUUUUUCAUUGAGUUGACUUCAGGAUGGAAUUAUGAGCAGUUUUUGCUUUGACUGUUAUUUUAACAUCAUGUCUGUAAUAAAGUAAUUCUUUUCAAAAUGGCAAAGGAAGACAAUUCUUGUGAAUGGUGGGCUUUGGCUGGACCCUGGUCAGGCCAUAUCCCAACAGCCAGGGCAUCUCCAUCCUCAGCUGUCUCUGCUCCUCAUCAAACACCUGGCUGUCAGCUAGGAUGGAGGUUCUCUCCUCCUUCACCAGAGACAUGAGGAGCUCCAGAGACUCAUCCCGAAUGUCUCUUGUGACCAUCCUCACUGACCUGGCCCGUCAGCACAUCACACACUCCAUCUCCUGUUUCGAGGAAAAGUAAUAACAACAAGAAUUAAUUUAUUCCCAGGGGAAAUUGUGGGCCACAUAACAGUAUAGGGGUAAAUUACAGGAAUUUACCAUUCACGGACUCUGCUGGGUGUGGCUUAACUCAUACCUUCGGAUUGCCACCCAGCUAUGAGAUCCUUCUUCUAGACUCUGACCUUCAAAGCCCACAUCCUUUUUGUCACAGUUAUAUAAAGUAACCCCCUCACCCCCCACUCCCAUGACAUACAUGUGUGCACAAGCAUGCACACACCCACACAUGCAGAGCUCUAGGUCAAAACCAUACCCUCUGCAGCCACGAAAGCUCUGAUUGGGUCACUCUGUUGAUUGACCUUAGUGGGUGACCUGAGGACAGGGCAGGGUGGCCAGGCCUGAUGGACAA